rnacentral:tRNA from 1 species
GCCCCUGUAGCUCAGGUGGAUAGAGCACAGGAUUCCUAAUCCUGCUGCCGCGUGUUCGAGUCACGCCAGGGGCA